rnacentral:lncRNA from 1 species
GAGCGCACGGAGCAGGCACACAUACACUCACUCCAACGCCAUAGAACCAUGUCAGACUCAGAGACUGCAGCUCCAGCCGAAACCCCUGUCCCAGCACCCUGUGUGGCCAUCAAGGCAGAUUUAGACAAAUGUGUAAAGGAGAAUGGUGAGGAAGCGUGUAAGGAGCUAAUGGAGGCGUUUGCCGCCUGUGUGAAGAGCAAUGCUGAGGCGUCAUGAGGAGCUCAACAUGCAGGAAAAGGGUUUACUGCACUGAGUCCUCCACCUUCCCAGCAUUCCCUGCAGCUCGUGGCACUGGACUAAAUGAUGGGGUUUGGGGCAGCAGAGACCAUAUUUGUGUCUCUUCCCUUCUCUACACCCUCCCUGUGAACCUCAAAUGGAUUUCUCCAACCACCAACCUCCCCCUCCCCUUUUGUAUUGAUCUGAUCUGUAGACAGUUUGAGAGUUGAUGUAAAUGAUGUGUCUCAGAUGCUUUCAAAAUGGAAUAAAGAUUUUAAAAAUGGUUCAAUAUUUGUAACUAACUGAAUUUGUUUCACAAUGUU